GCAUACCCGUUGCUGGAUUUCAAAAUCAAACCAAUCACAGUAAUGGUAUUUAAUUUUGUAUUUAGUUUUUGCAUUAGGAUGCUAUUGAUCGUCUCCUAUUUACUUGUGAUAGGAGUGCCCGGAUUACGUUAGGGAACUGAUAAGAAAGACAAGAACCUUAACUGACAAACCAUUUGGAAUUGAUGAAAAAGUUGCAUUACUUCAUGUUUAUUGGGUGAAUUCUCAAAGGGGAUUGUAGAUGAAGCUCACAAAGCAGGGGUCAAGGUGGUUCACCAAGUACUUGGAUAAACUCUUAGCAAUCGGUAUUUUUUCAUUUGGUGUCUCAUUACCAUGCAUAUAUGCUUUUAAUAACAUAUUGGAAGUGUAAAAGAUGCCGAGAAAGCCAUUAGUUCUGGUGUAGAUGGAAUUAUUGUCCAAGGACACGAAGCAGGUGGACAUGUCAUUGGGAAGAUCAUAUAUGUAUUAUGGAGAAGCAUAUGAUGACUGAAGGGCACAAAGGCUACCUUUGACAGUUCCCCCUCUAGUAUUAUUUGUACUCAAGCUUGGUUAUGCUUUUAGAGGUAAUCUAACGUUCAACUGGUCGGGGGAAAUUGAGAUUCAAACAACAACCAUACAUAUAUCACUGACGGAAUAUGUGCGGUUGUUUUGAUUUCUGAUGAAGCUCGCAUUGGAUGGGUAAGUAGACGAAUUAAUGUCCGUGUGUUGUGUAUGUCUAAACCAAUAUGAUUCAGAAACCCAUCCAAUCAAUAU